rnacentral:rRNA from 1 species
UGGGGAAUAUUGCACAAUGGUCGCAAGCCUGAUGCAGCAACGCCGCGUGAAUGAUGAAGGUCUUCGGAUCGUAAAGUUCUGUUGCAGGGGAAGAUAAUGACGGUACCCUGUGAGGAAGCCCCGGCUAACUACGUGCCAGCAGCCGCGGUAAUACGUAGGGGGCUAGCGUUAUCCGGAUUUACUGGGCGUAAAGGGUGCGUAGGUGGUCUUUCAAGUCGGUGGUUAAAGGCUACGGCUCAACCGUAGUUAGCCUCCGAAACUGGAAGACUUGAGUGCAGGAGAGGAAAGUGGAAUUCCCAGUGGAGCGGUGAAAUGCGUAGAUAAUGGGAGGAACACCAGUAGCGAAGGCGGCUUUCUGGACUGCAACUGACACUGAGGCACGAAAGCGUGGGUAGCAAACAGG